rnacentral:rRNA from 1 species
UGCCAGCAGCCGCGGUAAUACAGAGGGUGCGAGCGUUAAUCGGAUUUACUGGGCGUAAAGGGCGCGUAGGCGGCCAUAUGAGUGUGGUGUGAAAGCCCCGGGCUUAACCUGGGACGUGCAUUGCAAACGAUAUGGCUGGAGUAGAUGAGAGGGUGAUGGAAUUUCCGGUGUAGCGGUGAAAUGCGUAGAGAUCGGAAGGAACGUCAAUGGCGAAGGCAGUCACCUGGCAUCAUACUGACGCUGAGGCGCGAAAGCGUGGGUAGCGAACAGGAUUAGAUA